rnacentral:rRNA from 1 species
UACGAAGGGUGCAAACGUUGCUCGGAAUUAUUGGGCGUAAAGCGCACGUAGGCGGCAUUGCAAGUCGGAUGUGAAAUCCCUCGGCUUAACCAAGGAAGUGCAUCCGAAACUGCAGUGCUUGAGUACUUAAGAGGAUCGCGGAAUUCCCGGUGUAGAGGUGAAAUUCGUAGAUAUCGGGAGGAACACCAGUGGCGAAGGCGGCGAUCUGGGAAGAUACUGACGCUGAGGAGCGAAAGCGUGGGGAGCGAACAGG